CCGUGCCAGAUGCGCGUUUACA
rnacentral:miRNA from 15 species